UUCAAUUAAUCUAUUUGAAGAUUCAAUAAGGAACAUAGAUAGAUUGUUGUAGGAUUGAUUAUGUGGGAUCCUAUGUGUAACUAUUCGAAUACAAUUUUAGUCCAAUCUUCUUUGAUCUUUUGUGCUGUGGCACUUCAGUACAGGUACCGUUUACUGACCAAUAUGUUUGACAUUUAAUGUUCCAUUCCACUUAAUUAUCCUCUGUUACUGAAAAUUACACAUAUACUCUUGUAUUUGACAUUUUAGAUUCGAUGUUACAUAAUUGACCGCAUAAUAAGUCAUGUCUCCUUUCUUGAAAGUUAUAUAAUGCAUUACAUUUUCUGACAUGUAAAAAACUAUAAGUGCAGAUACAACUCCGGGUUUUGGGUAUCAGAUCAAUUUUUUGCGGAGACAUAGAAAAGAAAAAAAAAAGAGAGAUUGCAUUCAAGAAUUAACUGAGUGUGGAGGAACGAAUGAGACGACGACAGGAUCAAGUAGUUGCUGGCUGUGGAUUCUGGCGGUGCUUCAAAAGGCCAAUCGCCUCAGGAAAUACGAGCAAGGGGAAAAAAGAGAGAGAGAAAGUAUUCUACUUACUACAUAUAUGUUACGGCCAAGAACAUCUCCGGAGUUGGAUUUCUUCCUACCACAAUUUGAUUCUCAACUUUCCUCCUUGUAAUCAAACAACAGCCUGAAGAACUUGAUCAUUGUUCUAUUAUAUUUGAGCUGGAUUAUCCAAAUUCAUUCACCGCCAUCAACAUCUUGUCUUCAGUGUUUGCUGACUCUACCUAGGUAAUUUUGUGAUCAAACUCUGUUACUUUAUCUUUCUUUCUAUUUGAAUAUCUUCCAGAGGAGUUUCUUAGUUUUGUCUUUGAUAUAUAGCUUGAAUUAUUAAAAUAUAAAUGGAAAGCACUUAUAGCCGACCCCAAUUAAGUUGGGAUUAAGGCUUGUUGUUGUUGUUGUUGUAUAAAUGGAAAGCACUCAUGGCAGUAAGUCAUUUUUCUUGGUUAAUUUUGAGGUUGGAGAACAUGGGGAAUUGGGAGCAUAAGAGGAGAAUCGAGGAAAUAAAGAGGAGAAGAGAGAGUCAGGAGAGAGUAAGGGUCUGAGAGACUAGAGAGCAACAAAAAGAAAAGUGGAAAAAAGAAAAAAAAAGGACUCGAUUUAUGCCACCAGGUUCCCCACUCAGAAAAGAAGACCAAAAAAAAAAAAAAAUGAAAGAACAAUUUGGAGUUUUGGACAAGCUCCUAUGUGAUCCCAUUGGCCAUUCUGAGAGAGUAAAAAAACAAAGAAAAAAUUAUAACUUUGAAAGGUAACCUAGCAUGAAUUCACGCUUUUAUAAAUUUAGAACAACUAAAAGAACGUUUUAUAAAUGUAGAAUAAUUAAAAGAACUGGAAUAUCUAUACUGAAAGAAUAUCUAUUUUAGUUGUGAAUAUUUUCAUCUU